AGUGAACGCUGGCGGUAGGCCUAACACAUGCAAGUCGAACGGCAGCACAGUAAGAGCUGGCUCUUACGGGUGGCGAGUGGCGGACGGGGGAGGUAUACAUCGGAAUCUACUUUUUCGUGGGGGAUAACGUAGGGAAACUUACGCUAAUACCGCAUACCACCUACGGGGGAAAGCAGGAGAUCUUCGGACCUUGCGCGAUUGAAUGAGCCGAUGUCGGAUUAGCUAGUUGGCGGGGUAAAGGCCCACCAAGGCGACGAUCCGUAGCGGGUCUGAGAGGAUGAUCCGGCACACUGGAACUGAGAGACGGUACAGACUCCUACGGGCGGCAGAAGUGGGGAAUAUUGGCAGAUGGGCGCAAGACUGAUCCAGCCAUACCGCGUGGGUGCAGAAGGCCUUCGGGUUGUAUAGCCCCUUUGUUGUGAAAGAAAAGCAGCAGGUUAAUCCACCGCUGUUCUGACGGUACCCAAAGAAUAAGCACCGGCUAACUUCGUG
rnacentral:rRNA from 1 species